UCCACACCGCCGUUCUCUUUUUUCCUCGCCGCCAGCCUCCACCUCUCCCAUCGUCACCCACCAGAUCGAUGCCCUCUAUGUUCCCUCUCCCUGGCCACCUUGCCCCAUGCACACCCCAUAUGCCUAUGUUCACCUCGGCUGCUCCAGACAUCGGCACGUACGUCUGCGGCAUCGGUGGAUCUAGCUAUUAUGUUGUGCUCGCUCCUCAUGUUCGAUGCGGGAGGUGGUGGCAUCGGAUCUUGCCCUCCUCGCCUGUUGCUACUCACGGCCGGCGGCCUGCUUCAUGGUCAGGAAUCCCCUAUCCCAGCCCCUUCGCACGCACAACAUAGGUCAUCCUCCCCGCGUCCGCCAUGAUGGCCACCAAUAGCGCCGCACCCGUCGCCGCGUCGAAGAGGGGUGCCUUCACAGUCUUCCUCUCCAGUAGAUUAUCCAUCUAGGACCUCAGGAAGACGGGGUAGCCACCAUAUCUGGAGAUAGUGGACUAGAGCAAGUUGAAGAAGAUCUGGGUUGGCGAGAUGGUCAUCCCCAAGGACCAUGAGGAUAGUAAUUCCAAGCUCGACCCUAGAUGGGUUACACUCCAAGGCAUUUAGAAGACAUAAUUUGUGGCUUGAAGUGAUGGGCGGUUGUGGACAAUUUCAGGUAUGUGACCUGGUAGGUAAUACAUGUGGUGGACAGAUGUUGGUCUGGACUGGAACCAGACGAAGAAAAAUAUGGGUCAUGGCAUAUUGCAAAGGGUCCAAUAAGAGGGACAAGUUACAUCAUAGAUACUGCAAGAAUUGCAUUCAACAAGUACCCUUUGAUUGUGGAUGAAGUGUUGAACAAGGAGGCCUGCGAAUGCCCCAAAUGCAGGAAGGAGUGCAACUGCGGCGUGUGCCAAACUAGAAAGGGGAGGCCCCGACAGGGAGAAUUGUUUGUGCUACCAAGAGGAUGAUGGUCAACCUGGUGUGAACUAAGAGCAAUGAUGCUCUCAAGGAUGAAAUAGUCAUACCCAUGGGUACUCUCGUGACUUGUCUUGUAGGCAUAGAUCUGCAAUUUGAAGAUGUCCGUGCUCCUAUUCAAUUCUAGAGUUCUGUCACUCAUUUGGUGAGGUAAUUAUGGAAAGCAAAUUGUAAUAUAUUUUAUUUACCAUUUUGUGUUGCAUUGGAUCAUUGAUGCAUCUACUCCUCAUUUCUAAAUCUGUUUUGCUUUCGCUAGUUAUGGUUUGUUAGGUUAUAUGUUUCCAUAGAUGAAAAUGUUUAACUGUUUUUAGCUGCCCACUUGCUUUUAGAGACCUUUUCUUCCAUAUUAUAAAUAGAAUAAUGUACCAAUUAAUGUAAGAAGAUCUGCAAAAUAAGGAAGGGGCAACUACAAGAAACUCUCAAACACUUAACUCUACUUCAAGAGGUGUCUUCAGUUGUUGCUGGCCUUCACAUAAAGUUGUUAUUUGUCAUAAAAAUGGUAAAGAUAUGUAAAUAUACUCCAAAUUUCUAUUUCCUUGUUUUCCUCAUACAGUCAAUAACUUGAUAAAUGAGGUUAUCUUUUUAGCCCUUUCAUGUAUCCAAGAAAUGGAGAUGAAUGGAUAAGAAAAGUCGGCGAGUACACCACUUUAAGUUACAUACAGAAGAUUUCACCUUUCAUUGCUUAAAUCAGGGGGUAUCAGGAUAUAAAAAUUUGAACCCUUCUUGUAAGCCAGAGGUGUUGUAUAGUCUAUGUGAUGAGGCAUUACCUUCUGAGUAAGUACAGGCUAUCAUAUUUGCCAUAGUAGUUCAGUUCACUAAUGUCAUAUUAAUUAUCUUGUUACUUUGUUAAGAAAGUUGAGGACCGGGAUUAACAUUAAAGGUAGAGAAUGUAUGGCCAGGGAGAAAAAUCAAAGCUCCAACCAAAAAAGUAUUUAUCUUGGGAAGAUCCUUUUUUGUGGUCAGGUAACUUGCUUGACAUUAAUGAUCAUAGGUUUUGUCUUGUUUCCUAGCAACAAGAGCUAAAAGAAAGAUAUAAUGACAUGGCUAAAGCAAUGAAACGAGGAGAAACUGCUAGAAAUGAGGAAUAUAAUCAUAUCAUUUCUCAAAUAAAGGAAGCAUAAGAAGCCUGCUUAACUUCUUCUGCUUCCUUUAUUUGAGAAAGGAUGUUAUUAACUACUUCAGCUUCCUUUAUUUGAGAGAGAAGCUAAAAGGAGUUAAUCAUAUCCUUUCUCAAAUAAAGGAAGCAUAAGAAGCAUGUUUGACUUCUUAUGCUUCCUUUAUUUGAGAAAGGAUAUUAUUAACUUCCUCUUUGCUAGCAGUUUUUCCUCCUUCGAUUGUUUUAGCCAUGUCAUUAUAUCUUCCUUUUAGCUCCUUUUGUUAUGACACAAGACAAGACCUAUGGUCAUUAAUGUCAACUAAGUGACUUGACCACAAAAAAGGAACUUCCCAAGAUAAAUACCUUUCUAGUUGCAGCUUUGAUAUUUUUUGUCUGUACACACAUUCUCUAUCUUUAAUGUCAAUCCAGGUCCUCAACUUUCUGAACAAAGUAACAAGAUAACUAAUAUGACAGUAAGUAAGUGAACUACUCCAGCAAAUAUGAUAGCCUUUACUUACUCAGAAGAUAAUGCCUCAUCACACAAACAAUUCAGCACCUCCAACUUACAAGAAGGGUUCAAAUUUGUAUAUCCUGAUACCCCCUGAUUUAAGCAGCGAAGGGUGAAAUCUUCUCUGUGUAAUGUCAAAGUGAUGUACUCGCCGACUUUUCUUAUCCAUUCAUCUACAUGUCCUGGAUACUCAAAAGAGCUAAGAAAAAAUAACCUCGGUUACCAAGUUAUUGACUGCAUGGGCAAAAAAAAGGAAAAAGUAGUUUGGAGUGUACUUACAUAUCUUUGCCAAUUUCUAUGAUGGAGAACAACUUUAUGUGAAGGUCGGCAACAACUAAAGACACCUCUUCAAGUUGAGUUAAGUCUUUGAGAGUUUCUUCUAGUUGCCCCUUCCUUAUUUUGCAGAUCUACUUACAUCAUUUGGUACAUUAUUAUAUUUAUAAUGCAAAAGAAAAGGUCUCUAAAAGCAAGCAUGCAGCUAAGAACAGUUUAAAAAAUUCAUUUGUGGAAACAUAUACCAAGUUUGGUUCCAGAUUAUAAAAUAAAAUGCAAAUAAACUUUCAUUAUAUUAUAAGUUGAGAAAUAAUAAACAAUAUCCCACUCAAGUUUAUUAUCUAUUUUGUGUUAACAAGACAGAAGCAAUAAGAAAACAACAGAUUUUUUAGCUUGGCAACAUUCUCAAACAACCUAACUAACCAUAACUAGCUAAAUCAAGCCGGUUUAGAAAUGAGGAGUAGAUGCAUCAAUGAUCCAAUGCAACACGAAAUGCUAAAUAAAACAUAUUACUACUUGCUUUCCCAAAUUACCUUGCCAAAUGAAUCAAAGAACUCCAGAAAUUGAAUAGGAGCACCAACAUCUUCAAACUGCAGCUCUAUGCUUGCAAGGCAAGUCACGAGAGUACCCCUGGGUACAACUAUUUCAUCCUUGAGAGCAUCAUUGCUCUCAAGUCGCACCAGGUUGACCUUUGGCCUCUUGGUAGCAUAGACUAUUCACCAUGUCGGUGCCUCCCCUUCCCUAGUCUGCCAAAUAAAACUAGAUAAAGAGAUCCAUCAAUUAGAAAGAAAUUCUAAAAUACCCCCAUGUCAAGCAUCGACUUCAGAUUUCUCACUGGCACACUGCAUUUGGGGCAUUAUUAGGCCUCCUUCUUCAACACCUCAUCUGAAAUCAAAUGGUACAUGUUAAACAAACAGAACAUUGACAAACUAACCCAAAGAGGAUUUCCUACCACAUGCUCUAUGAAAAAGCAGAGAGGAAAUUAUUUUACUUGUUACGAAUGUAAUUCUUGUAGUAUCUGAGAGGUUACUUGCCCCUCUUAUUGGACCCUUUGAAAGUUGUUGUGA